rnacentral:rRNA from 1 species
CCAGAGAACUUAGCAGAGAUGCUUUGGUGCCUUCGGGAACUCUGAGACAGGUGCUGCAUGGCUGUCGUCAGCUCGUGUUGUGAAAUGUUGGGUUAAGUCCCGCAACGAGCGCAACCCUUAUCCUUUGUUGCCAGCGGCUCGGCCGGGAACUCAAAGGAGACUGCCGGUGAUAAACCGGAGGAAGGUGGGGAUGACGUCAAGUCAUCAUGGCCCUUACGGCCAGGGCUACACACGUGCUACAAUGGCGCAUACAAAGAGAAGCGACCUCGCGAGAGCAAGCGGACCUCACAAAGUGCGUCGUAGUCCGGAUUGGAGUCUGCAACUCGACUCCAUGAAGUCGGAAUCGCUAGUAAUCGUAGAUCAGAAUGCUACGGUGAAUACGUUCCCGGGCCUUGUACACACCGCCCGUCACACCAUGGGAGUGGGUUGCAAAAGAAGUAGGUAGCUUAACCUUCGGGAGGGCGCUUACCACUUUGCGAUUCAUGACUGGGGUGAAGUCGUAACAAGGUAGGCGUAGCGAG